GCGCUGUGGUGAUGACACUGACUGGUCGUCAUUAGCCUGAAAUGAUCCGUGUAGGUUUUCAGUCACUACCUCUUCUGAACAGCUC